ACAAUUGUGUCGUCUGUACGCGGAAAACUCAAAGGAAAAACGUAUUCGUUUUAAGCAUAUCGUUGUCGUGCAAACGCACCCUUAAGUAGCCACGAUGUCAUGCUCGGGGCAUGCGCACUAGAAAACGUUCGCCCAAGUGCAUCACGAGACAAUUUCCAAUGGGUUAUAGAGCCAUGGUGAAUGACGCACAAGUUGUUCCUGCAGCUGUGAGGUCUUUGUGAGAUAAAGAUGCAACAUCAAGCCAGUGUAAUACAGUAUAUAAGAUGCUGUGCAGAGCUACCUAGAAUAGGAGUCGGCAGUUAAGGCAGGUUGAAAGGACAGACACAAUCCAGCCCCUUCGAGAACCCUGAUGAAUCCAUCUCUUCAAGCACCUCUAAACAGCCAUUGAUGACUUGCGUUUGAUUAUCCUUCUGUUUUUUUGAGUUGACCUUUCAUUACUGUGCCUUUACGAUUCUCUGUCUAUUAA